GAGUUUGAUCGUGGCUCAGAUUGAACGCUGGCGGCAGGCUUAACACAUGCAAGUCGAGCGGGGGAGAUUGCUUCGGUAAUUGACCUAGCGGCGGACGGGUGAGUAAUACUUAGGAAUCUGCCUAUUAACGGGGACAACAUCUCGAAAGGGAUGCUAAUACCGCAUACGCCCUACGGGGGAAAGCAGGGGAUCACUUGUGACCUUGCGUUAAUAGAUGAGCCUAAGUCGGAUUAGCUAGUUGGUGGGGUAAAGGCCUACCAAGGCGACGAUCUGUAGCGGGUCUGAGAGGAUGAUCCGCCACACUGGGACUGAGACACGGCCCAGACUCCUACGGGAGGCAGCAGUGGGGAAUAUUGGACAAUGGGGGGAACCCUGAUCCAGCCAUGCCGCGUGUGUGAAGAAGGCCUUAUGGUUGUAAAGCACUUUAAGCGAGGAGGAGGCUCCUGUAGUUAAUACCUACAGAGAGUGGACGUUACUCGCAGAAUAAGCACCGGCUAAUCUGUGCCAGCCG
rnacentral:rRNA from 1 species